CUUAUGUUUUUACUUAUAAAUUCAAACAUUUUCUCAGUUGGUACAUUGUAAACAAUAAAAAACAUGGCUAAAAUUCUCAAAUACGUUCAAGUUAUGUUCAUCUUUCUAUCUCUAUUUCUUGUUGUAACCGACGCUAGUACUUCUUCCUUCCUCAUAAAAGAAAACACUUUUGUUAUUGAGUGUUAUACCAACACAGAUUGUGUACAUCGUGUGUGCAAACCUCCUGCUGCUCCGAAGUGCCUUAAUUGUCUUAGGUGUAUUUGUUUAUGAUUUAUUUGUAUGUCAUAAUGCUACUACAAUUAUGAUUUUUGGGACACUUUAAUUUAUGUUUCUGUAAAAUUUCCCUAUUGUAAAGCUCAUAAGAAUUUUAUAGACAAAUCCUAUAUUAUAAAAA